rnacentral:rRNA from 1 species
GAUCAUGGCUCAGAUUGAACGCUGGCGGCAUGCCUUACACAUGCAAGUCGAACGGCAGCACGGGAGCUUGCUCCUGGUGGCGAGUGGCGAACGGGUGAGUAAUACAUCGGAACGUACCCUGAAGUGGGGGAUAACGUAGCGAAAGUUACGCUAAUACCGCAUAUUCUGUGAGCAGGAAAGAGGGGGGAUCGCAAGACCUCUUGCUUUAGGAGCGGCCGAUGUCGGAUUAGCUAGUUGGUGAGGUAAAGGCUCACCAAGGCGACGAUCCGUAGCGGGUCUGAGAGGAUGAUCCGCCACACUGGGACUGAGACACGGCCCAGACUCCUACGGGAGGCAGCAGUGGGGAAUUUUGGACAAUGGGCGCAAGCCUGAUCCAGCCAUGCCGCGUGAGUGAAGAAGGCCUUCGGGUUGUAAAGCUCUUUCGGUGGGGAAGAAAUUGCACAGGAUAAUACCUUGUAUAGAUGACGGUACCCGCAUAAGAAGCACCGGCUAACUACGUG